rnacentral:rRNA from 1 species
UACGAGGGGGGCGAGCGUUGUUCGGAAUUAUUGGGCGUAAAGGGUGCGUAGGCGGUUUGGUAAGUCUUGUGUGAAAUCUACAGGCUCAACUUGUAGUCUGCACGAGAAACUGCCGGGCUUGAGUAUGGGAGAGGAGAGUGGAAUUCCUGGUGUAGCGGUGAAAUGCGUAGAUAUCAGGAGGAACACCUGUGGCGAAAGCGGCUCACUGGACCAUAACUGACGCUGAUGCACGAAAGCUAGGGGAGCAAACAGG